rnacentral:misc_RNA from 1 species
GGCAUUGUUUGAACGGUACUCAGACAAUGGCAUCAUGACCAUUGAUCAUCUACGCAGGUUCCUCGUUGAGGUCCAAAAGGAAGAUAAGGCUACCACAGGCGACGCUCAGGACAUCUUUUAUCAUCUCCACGAGCUCCAACUUGGUCUCAAUUUCGAGGCUUUUUUCAAAUACCUUUUCGGCGAUAUUAACCCUCCUCUCGAUCUUAAACGUGGGGUUCACCAUGAUAUGACUGCUCCUCUGUCGCACUAUUUCAUAUUUACUGGGCACAAUUCAUAUCUAACUGGGAAUCAACUUAGUAGUGACUGCAGUGAUGUCCCCAUCAUAGAUGCUUUGCAGAGUGGUGUGAGAGUGAUUGAAUUGGAUAUAUGGCCUAAUUCCAAUAAGGAUAAUGUGGAGGUUCUUCAUGGGAGGACACUGACAGCACCUGUGGAACUUAUCAAGUGUUUGAGGUCUAUCCAGGAGCAUGCCUUUACCGCAUCUGAUUAUCCAGUUAUUAUAACUCUAGAAGACCACCUUACUCCAGAUCUUCAGGCUAAAGUGGCUGAGAUGAUCACUCAAACAUUUGGAGACAUCCUGUUUUCUCCUGGCUCAGAAUGCUUAAAGGAAUUUCCCUCCCCAGAAUUUUUGAAGAAACGUAUCAUCAUAUCAACCAAACCACCAAAGGAAUACCUCGAGGCCAAACAAACUAAGCAUAGGGAUAGUGAAGAAGCUUAUGGGAAAGAAACCAGUGACCUUAAAGGUCACAUUCAAGCUGGUGACAAGAAUGAUUUGGAUGAAGAUAGCGAUGAUGAGGAAGAUGCGGACGAAGGAAUUAUGAGGUCAACGCGAAAUGUAGUACCAGAGUAUAAACAAUUAAUUGCUAUUCAUGCUGGGAAGCCUAAAGGUGGACUAGAAGAAUGCCUUAAAGUGGAUCCAGAGAAAGUGAGGCGACUUAGCUUAAGUGAGCCACAACUUGAAAAAGCUGCAGAAACUUAUGGAAAAGAAAUUGUCAGGUUUAGCCAACGAAAUAUACUUAGAGUGUACCCAAAGGGUAUUCGUAUUAACUCAUCCAACUACAACCCACUAAUUGGGUGGACGCAUGGAGCUCAAAUGGUUGCUUUUAACAUGCAGGGACAUGGAAAAUCACUUUGGUUAAUGCGUGGAAUGUUCAGAGCCAAUGGUGGGUGUGGCUAUGUGAAGAAACCAGAUUUUCUGUUGAAAUCGAGCCCACAUGGUGACGUGUUCAAUCCUAGAGUCGAGUUGCCCGUGAAGACAAUAUUGAAGGUGAAAGUAUAUAUGGGGGAAGGAUGGUUCAAUGAUUUCCAGGGCAAAAGUUUUGAUGCAUUUUCCUCACCAGAUUUUUAUGUUAGGGUAGGGAUUGCUGGGGUCCCUGCGGAUACUGUAAUGAAGGAGACAGAGACACAGAUGAACAAUUGGAUGCCUGUGUGGAAUGAGGAAUUUAAGUUCCCACUAACUGUUCCAGAACUGGCUCUGCUGCGUAUUGAAGUUUAUGACUACGACAUGUCCGAGAAGGAUGACUUUGCAGGUCAAACAUGCCUUCCCGUGUUCGAGUUAAGAAGAGGGAUUCGAGCAGUUCCACUCUAUAACUUUGAUGGAGUGAAGUAUAAUUCUAUAAAGCUCCUUAUGCAGUUUGAUUUUAUUUAGACUAUUAUCAGUUUGCAAUUUACACGUUUGUGAAGCUAGUUCUAUAUGUUGAUGCUGUUGUGAGCUGGUGUCUGAAAACGAGCAGCUAUAUAACAGAAUAACAUCUCUGCCCUGCUGGUUUCUACCCUCAGUAAGUCUUCUCAAUAAGAUAGUGCAGUAGGCAGCAGGGUCCUGGCAAGUAUAAUUUUAUUGUAAUGCAAAUAAGAAUCUUGUGUUUUUACUGAUUCGGUUAUUACUUUUUCUAUUCAAUUUUUAGAAAUUACGUCCUGUAAAAUAUAAUUUUAUUGUAAUGUAAAUAAGAAUC